rnacentral:rRNA from 1 species
GACUCUCGGCAACGGAUAUCUCGGCUCUCGCAUCGAUGAAGAACGCAGCAAAAUGCGAUACUUGGUGUGAAUUGCAGAAUCCCGUGAACCAUCGAGUNGAUGUGUCGAAAUUCGCGACUGUGGCGUUAGUGGACAUAGAUUCGGAUGAGAUUCA